GUUUCGAGGGAAUAGAUAAUGUGGAAAACAUUGAUGCAUAUGGUGGGUAAUUAAGCUUUGCUUUGAGAAAUUAGAACAAGUCUUGCUCUUACAAGUUUAUCCAUCCAUGGCUGCAAAGGCCUCCCUCUUCUUCUCUCCCUCGGAGUGCUUUCUCACAACUCGUCUCUGCAAACUCUUCCCCACUACUCAAAAACCCUCUUUUCCCUCUCCUUCCUCCUCUUCUAUUACCUUAACCAAUGUCCUCAAUGCCGAUGCUGUAUAUACCAAAUUGCCUCCCCGACUACGGAAUGCAAGACAGGAGCAGGAGCGAGACGCCAUUUCUCUACUCAACGAGCGAAUUCGCCGGGAGCAUGCUAAGAGAGAUCACUCCCCUCUUAGACCGGCCAUGGAUUCCCAGGAGGCUGAUAAGUACAUUCAGCUCGUGAAAGAGCAGCAGCAAAGGGGCCUCCAGAAGCUCAAAAGCGACAGAGCCAGACAAGGUGCUCCACAUGAUGCAGCUCAACCUACUUUUAGCUACAAGGUGGACCCUUACACUCUCCGUUCCGGCGAUUACGUGGUCCACAGGAAAGUUGGAAUUGGACGAUUCGUUGGCAUCAAAUUUGACGUUCCAAAGGAUUCCAAGGAGCCUAUUGAAUACGUCUUUAUUGAGUACGCUGACGGUAUGGCUAAAUUACCCGUUAAGCAGGCAUCUCGUUUGCUCUACCGUUACAAUCUCCCUAAUGAAACCAAAAGGCCACGGACUUUGAGCAAGUUAAGCGAUACUAGUGCAUGGGAGAGGAGAAGGAUGAAGGGAAAAGUUGCAGUUCAGAAAAUGGUUGUAGAUCUAAUGGAGCUAUACCUACACAGGUUAAAACAAAAAAGGCCUCCAUACCCAAAGACUCCAGCUACGGCUGAAUUUGCAUCUCAGUUUCCUUUUGAACCCACACCAGAUCAGAAACAGGCUUUCUCAGAUGUAGAAAGGGACUUGACAGAGAGCGAAAAUCCAAUGGACAGAUUAAUUUGCGGAGAUGUUGGUUUUGGUAAAACUGAGGUUGCACUGCGUGCCAUCUUCUGUGUAGUCUCUGCAGGGAAGCAAGCUAUGGUUCUAGCGCCAACAAUAGUUUUAGCUAAACAACAUUUUGAUGUUAUCUCAGAGAGAUUCUCAAGAUAUCCUAACAUAAGAGUUGGACUUCUUAGCAGGUUUCAGACCAAGUCAGAGAAAGAGGAGUACUUGAGUAUGAUUAAAGACGGACGUGUGGACAUUAUUGUUGGGACUCAUUCACUACUUGGCAAUCGGGUUGAAUAUAAUAAUCUGGGUCUACUUGUGGUUGAUGAGGAACAGAGGUUUGGCGUAAAACAGAAGGAGAGGAUUGCUUCAUUUAAAACUUCAGUGGAUGUACUCACACUUUCAGCAACGCCUAUUCCAAGAACUCUAUAUUUAGCAUUAACUGGAUUUCGUGACGCUAGUUUGAUCUCAACACCGCCUCCUGAGAGAGUUCCGAUAAGAACGCAUCUUUCAGCUUACAGUAAGGACAAAGUAAUAUCAGCUAUCAAGCAUGAAUUGGACCGUGGUGGCCGAGUUUUUUAUGUCUUGCCCCGCAUUAAAGGUCUUGAGGAUGUUAUGGAAUUCUUAGAACUGGCAUUUCCACAUGUUGAAAUAGCUAUUGCUCAUGGAAAGCAAUACUCAAAACAGCUUGAGGAAACUAUGGAAAGAUUUGCACGGGGAGAUAUUAGAAUUCUUAUAUGUACAAACAUAGUAGAAAGCGGCCUUGAUAUUCAAAACGCAAACACAAUCAUCAUUCAAGAUGUUCAGCAAUUUGGACUUGCACAAUUGUAUCAGUUGCGUGGAAGGGUCGGACGGGCGGAUAAGGAAGCUCAUGCACAUUUAUUCUAUCCUGACAAAUCACUUCUUUCAGACCAUGCACUAGAGAGGCUUGCUGCUCUUGAAGAGUGCUGUGAACUUGGUCAGGGUUUUCAGCUUGCAGAAAGAGACAUGGCUAUUAGAGGAUUUGGCAAUAUUUUUGGCGAGCAACAGACGGGGGAUGUUGGCAAUGUGGGCAUUGAUCUAUUCUUUGAGAUGUUGUUUGAAAGCUUGUCAAAGGUUGAUGAGCAUCGUGUAAUAUCAGUUCCUUACCCUGCAAUGGAGCUUGAUAUCAAUAUAAACCAUCAUCUUCCUUCUGAGUACAUAAACCAUUUGGAGAACCCCAUGCAAAUCAUCAAUAGCGCUGAAAAAGCAGCUGAAAAGGACAUUUUCAACUUGAUGCAAUUUACGGAAAAUCUGAGGCGUCAGUAUGGCAAAGAACCUUACUCUAUGGAAAUCCUAUUGAAAAAGCUUUAUGUCAGAAGAAUGGCAGCAGAUUUAGGAAUUAGCAGCAUUUAUGCUUCAGGAAAGAUGGUUGGCAUGAAAACAAACAUGUCAAAAAAGGUUUUCAAGUUGAUAACUGAUUCAGCAACUUCAGAUAUUCAUCAGAAUUCUCUGAUAUUUGAAGAUGGCCAAAUAAAGGCUGAACUGCUCUUGGAGCUACCUAAAGAACAGUUGCUGAAUUGGAUCUUUCAAUGCCUUGCAGAAUUAUAUUCCUCAUUGCCGACCUUGAUAAAAUAUUAGUCCUUUCAAUGAACUGUGAUUCUUACAUCAUCUACUAGGCAGCCGCCCCAUGGCCAUUGCCCAUCGCUAUAAUAGGGUCCUGUGGGGUGGUUUAAUUAAGAGUGUUAGAAGCUUGUCUCUCAUCAGCGGCUGUCCCUACAUGUACAGUAUGAAAACUUGAGAUAGAUCUGUAUCAUAUAUUCAAGCAGAUUGUGUUAACCAACUGGCACUUUCCAUUCCUCGCGGGCAGUCAAUCUAUAUCAGAAGUAAAAGCCACGAUGAGUGCAUUGCCUUCUGAGAUGAGGAUUAACAGAGUUGUUUAAAUAUAGGAUAUA